GAUGAACGCUAGCGAUAGGCUUAACACAUGCAAGUCGAGGGGCAGCAUGGUCUUAGCUUGCUAAGACUGAUGGCGACCGGCGCACGGGUGCGUAACGCGUAUGCAACUUGCCUCACAGAGGGGGAUAACCCGUCGAAAGACGGACUAAUACCGCGUACACUCCAUCUUGGGCAUCCAAGGUAGAGGAAAUGAAAUUCGCUGUGAGAUAGGCAUGCGUCCCAUUAGCUAGUUGGUGAGGUAACGGCUCACCAAGGCGACGAUGGGUAGGGGAACUGAGAGGUUGAACCCCCACACUGGUACUGAGACACGGACCAGACUCCUACGGGAGGCAGCAGUGAGGAAUAUUGGUCAAUGGGCGAGAGCCUGAACCAGCCAAGUCGCGUGAAGGAUGACUGUCUUAUGGAUUGUAAACUUCUUUUAUACGGGAAUAACAAGAGUCACGUGUGACUCCCUGCAUGUACCGUAUGAAUAAGCAUCGGCUAACUCUGUG
rnacentral:rRNA from 1 species